rnacentral:rRNA from 1 species
GGGCUCGAGUGUGGUAGGGGCAGAGGGAAUUCCCGGUGUAGCGGUGAAAUGCGUAGAUAUCGGGAAGAACACCAGUGGCGAAGGCGCUCUGCUGGGCCAUCACUGACGCUCAUGGACGAAAGCCAGGGGAGCGAAAGGGAUUAGAUACCCCUGUAGUCCUGGCCGUAAACGAUGAACACUAGGUGUCGGGGGAAUCGACCCCUCCGGUGUCGUAGCCAACGCGUUAAGUGUUCCGCCUGGGGAGUACGCACGCAAGUGUGAAACUCAAAGGAAUUGACGGGGGCCCGCACAAGCGGUGGAGUAUGUGGUUUAAUUCGAUGCAACGCGAAGAACCUUACCAGGGUUUGACAUCCUGCGAAUCUCUUGGAAACUUGAGAGUGCCUUCGGGAGCGCAGUGACAGGUGGUGCAUGGCUGUCGUCAGCUCGUGUCGUGAGAUGUUGGGUUAAGUCCCGCAACGAGCGCAACCCACGUCUUUAGUUGCCAGCAUUUAGUUGGGCACUCUAGAGAGACCGCCGGUGAUAAACCGGAGGAAGGUGUGGAUGACGUCAAGUCAUCAUGCCCCUUACAUCCUGGGCUACACACGUACUACAAUGCUACGGACAAAGGGCAGCAAGUUCGCGAGGACAAGCAAAUCCCAUAAACCGUGGCUCAGUUCAGAUCGUAGGCUGCAACUCGCCUACGUGAAGGAGGAAUCGCUAGUAAUCGCAGGUCAGCAUACUGCGGUGAAUACGUUCCCGGGCCUUGUACACACCGCCCGUCACACCAUGGAAGUUGGCCACGCCCGAAGCCGUUACUCCAACCCUUGUGGAGGAGGACGUCGAAGGUGGGGCUGAUGACUGGGGUGAAGUCGUAACAAGGUAACCGU